GCCGUCCUCGUAUUCGUUCUGUACCAAGAAACACGACUCCACCGAUCGAAUCUCUUUUCUUUAUAUAUAAAACCUAAUCUCUCAAUUCUUUUCUUCAUCUUCAUCUUCAUCUUCUCUUAAUAUCUUUCUUUCUUACAAAGAUAUACACAUAUAUAUCUUUUGUUGGUUUUUGAAGAGCUUUCAAAGAUGAGUUCAAGUCAGCCUUCAGCGGCAUAUCCUCCAAGUUCACAAGGUCCUUAUGUAGUGCCUCCACCACCGGUAGGGUAUCCUACAAAGGAUGGCUCCGGCUACUCUCAUGGUCAGAAUCCUCCUCCUCCGGUGGUAACCAAGUCUAGGGGCGAUGGCUUCUGGAAGGGAUGUUGUGCUGCCUUGUGUUGCUGCUGUGUCCUGGAGGAGUGCUGCUGAUCAUCGAUAGAAUUCCAGAGACCGUUGUUAUUGAUUUUCAUACGGAAUUUGGAUUCUUUCUAUAUAUGUAAAUUGAAAGUCGACCAUCUGAUUGGCCUUGACUUCAUUUUCUUCUUGUUUUUUAUUUUUAUUUUGACACCACUAUUUAUUUUCAGAGGUUGGUUUCUUCUCCU